rnacentral:sRNA from 1 species
UUUGCUUGUGCCUUCUAACAUCGCCUUCCUUUUCUGUUGCUGAAAGUUUUCCUUGGGCAGCAAGAUCAAUGUGAAGGUGGGAGGAAACAGCAAAGGAACGCUUAAGGUCCUUCGUAUCUACAAUGUCCUGGACAUGAAGAACACGACCUGCCAGGACCUGCAGAUAGAAGUGACAGUCAAAGGCCACGUCGAGUACACGAGGGAAGCAAACGAGGACUAUGAGGACUAUGAGUACGAUGAGCUUCCAGCCAAGGACGACCAGAUGCCCCUCUGCAGCCUGUGACACCCUGCAGCUGUUUGAGGGUCGGAGGAACCGCCGCAGGAGGGAGGCGCCCAAGGUGGUGGAGGAGCAGGAGUCCAGGGUGCACUACACCGUGUGCAUCUGGCGGAAUGGCAAGGUGGGACUGUCUGGCAUGGCCAUCGCGGACAUCACCCUCCUGAGUGGAUUCCACGCCUGCGUGCUGACCUGGAGAAGCUGACCUCCCUCUCUGACCGUUACGUGAGUCACUUUGAGACCGAGGGGCCCCACGUCCUGCUGUAUUUUGACUCG